CGGAAUCCACAGGUAAAAUCGAAUCUAUGUUGCUUCAAAAGUUAUUCCCUUUUGUCUGUUCUCGGCUAGAACAAGGUCUGGUCAAAAUAAGAAUGUUUUUUGUUCCAUUUUAGUUGGAGUUUGGGUUUUCAAAUCUAGGCCAGAUUAGUUGGAUUUAAUAAUUUGGUUUCUAAGGUGCAGCAGCCAUAUGAUCUCCCAACAAGGAGGAUCUUGCAACAACGACAUUGAUCAAGAAUUGGAUGUUGGAAAUUAUGGUUUGGCAUUGUUACUUCUCUUACUCCUGUUUCAUGUCCCAAUCUGAGGUGACUCGUGUUGGUAAUCAUGUAAUUUUUCCUUCGUGCUUCUAUUCUUCCUAUACGCUUUAGGCAUGGCAUGUUGUGCACUAACAUUUUGAUUAACAAUACAACACAUGGUCAUACAUAUGGUAUUGUUGCACUAUUUUUUUGUUGCAACGCAC
rnacentral:lncRNA from 1 species